rfam:Felis catus breed Abyssinian Contig84913.1, whole genome shotgun sequence. [26-MAY-2016]
AUCGCUUCUUGGCCUUUUGGCUAAGAUCAAGUGUGGUAUCUGUUCGUAUCAGUUUAAUAAUCGUGGAUGAUGUUACAAGGCACACCUUCAUCCCUAUGGCUUUUUCAUAGUCUGAAGUGAAAUUUCUUCAAGUGAAAUUCUCUGAUAUUUUGGGUCUGCUUGAAAGGUCUGAAAAACUGGGCCAAACUGAUUUACCAGAGUUGUCCCCAUUUAAU